UUUGUUUUCCUUUUAUUGAUUUUCUUUUUUCAUGUUGCAUUCUUAAUGUUUUUUCAUUUGAUUUUGAGAAGUAGAAGUGCCAAAACAAUUGCUGAAGAUCAAGCUGUGUCGAGGGAGCCGUGAAAUAUUUAGCUUAUGCUGUUACAUGUCGUGCCAGUAAAAAUGUCAUUUCACCUCUAGUUCAGUGCACAGCCCAUGUGUCCUGGCAUGUUAAGCUCAAUUGCAACUUUAAUGGAGAGUGAAGACCCCAAUCACAAAUUUCAAUUAUUGAAUGAACUACAUGCAGUGGAAGUGUGGAACAUGGUUGUUCAGCAUCAUAAUCCGAAUAAGAUCACCCAGAUUUUCAAUUUGAGUUACAAGCUUUUUACUCCGUGCUCCUAUAAGAAAUGUACAAUCAGAGAAAGAUAUACAAAGAAUACAGCUGUUGAGUAUUGGUUAUUCAUGCAGCUGUUGCUGCACCUUCGAAAAUCUGAAGCCACUUAG